rnacentral:rRNA from 1 species
UACGUAGGGACCGAGCGUUGUCCGGAAUCAUUGGGCGUAAAGAGCGUGUAGGCGGCCAGGUAGGUCGGUUGUGAAAACUGGAGGCUCAACCUUCAGAGGUCGACCGAAACCAUCUGGCUAGAGUCCGGGAGAGGAGAGUGGAAUUCCUGGUGUAGCGGUGAAAUGCGCAGAUAUCAGGAAGAACACCCGUGGCGAAAGCGGCUCUCUGGAACGGUACUGACGCUGAGACGCGAAAGCGUGGGGAGCGAACAGG